rnacentral:rRNA from 1 species
UACAGAGGUCUCAAGCGUUUGUUCGGAUUCAUUGGGCGUAAAGGGUGCGUAGGCGGCGCGGUAAGUCGGGUGUGAAAUCCCUCGGCUCAACCGAGGAACUGCGCUCUAAACUACCGUGCUCGAGGGAGAUAGAGGUAAGCGGAACUUAGGGUGGAGCGGUGAAAUGCGUUGAUAUCCUAAGGAACACCGGUGGCGAAAGCGGCUUACUGGAUCUCUUCUGACGCUGAGGCACGAAAGCUAGGGUAGCGAACGGG